AUUGUACAGUCUUUGGUUGAUGCCAUUCUUGUCACACAGAAAAUAAAUGUUUCACGCUUUAAAGUGAUUCAUUAAUUAUAUAUUGGUUGUUUCAGUGUCAGCGAUGAAGCGCUACUUAUCAAAACUCGUUCAUUGGUCUACUGGCUUCAUACCAUCAAAUUCCUUCCCGGGAUUGUGUGUAAGAAUAUUAGCUAAAUCUGGGGUGUGGUGGCGUUGAUCUAUGUUCCAAUUUUGUUUGUAAAAAUGGGGCUACCUAAUGACACAAAUUUUCUUAAGCUAUUGAAUUGUGAGAUAGGGUCUUACCGUGCUGCCAGAAGCACUAAUCGUCAAGCUUUGCUCACUGGCAACUUGAAUGAAUAUGGCACAAGAGCUUUUUCAACGACUUCUUUUGCGUCAUUGUCUGAAGAUCAGCCAGAGAAUAAUUCUGUCUCUGAUAUGUUGGUAGAUUCAUUUGGAAGGCUGCACACUUACCUGAGAAUAUCCUUAACAGAGAGGUGCAAUUUAAGGUGUAAGUAUUGUAUGCCAGCAGAUGGUGUUGAACUUACUCCUAGCCCUCAGCUUUUAACAAAGGCUGAGAUUCUGCGAUUGGCAAAUCUGUUUAUAAGCUCUGGGGUAAACAAAAUACGUUUAACCGGUGGGGAGCCAACUGUCAGAAAGGAUAUCGAAGACAUAUGCUUGGAGUUGUCAUCCGUGAAGGGAUUGAGGACAUUGUCCAUGACUACCAAUGGUAUUGUCCUAGCAAGAAAACUUCCAAGGCUGAAAGAAUGUGGGCUUACUUCUGUGAACAUUAGUUUGGACACACUGGUUCCGGCAAAAUUUGAGUUGAUGACAAGACGCAAAGGGCAUGAAAAAGUAAUGGAUUCAAUUAAUAUUGCCAUAGAACUUGGAUAUAAUCCUGUUAAGGUCAACUGUGUUGUAAUGCGUGGAUUCAAUGAUGAUGAAAUCUGUGACUUUGUUGAGUUGACGCGUGAAAAGCCAGUUAAUGUUCGGUUUAUAGAGUUCAUGCCUUUUGAUGGAAAUGUUUGGAAUGUCAAGAAAAUUGUACCCUACUCAGAAAUGUUGGAUACAGUGAUGAAACAGUUUACCAGCUUAAAGAGAGUUAAGGAUCACCCUACAGAUACAGCCAAGAAUUUUACAAUAGAUGGGCAUGAAGGAAGAGUUUCAUUUAUCACAUCAAUGACUGAGCAUUUUUGUGCUGGUUGCAAUAGAUUGCGUCUACUUGCUGAUGGAAACUUUAAAGUCUGUUUAUUUGGCCCUUCAGAGAUUAGCUUAAGAGAUCCCUUGAGACAUGGUGCAGAGGAUCAUGAACUUAGGGAGAUAAUAGGCGCAGCGGUAUGCCCUUCUCUAGUCAUUAUUGCUUAAAUUCAUAAUUUCAUUAUAUUGAGUUAUGAUAGGCACCCAAAAAUUAACUAGGAAAAAAGGGGAAAUGUAUCAUAUUAUUUAGUAUUAGGUCUGAUCAAGACAAUCCAGGACCUAAGUGUAACUGUUUUUACAGAGAGGUAUGAAGAAGAAAAUAAAAGAUAUAUUAUCCAGCCUAAGUUCUCUAACUCAUCCAUCUUUACCAGGAUUUAUUUUCCUCUUUCAUAUGACAAUAUAGCAAUAGAAUUUCAUUCACGUGCUAUUUUAAUCAACUAUGAUAGGUAACCUCUAAUAGAAAAGGUAUACUUUAGGAAUAGGAGAGGGAUGAAGACACCCCCCCCCCCCACACUAACUGACAAGGAGUUAAUCGGACAUUUUGUAUAUAAUACAGAGAAUGGGUGGAAAAACAUUGUCGGGAAAGAUUUAGCCUCAUUUGGUAGUUGGGAGAAAUCAGCGCUUCUCAAAUACCCUGAGAAAGUAACUGUUUGUAAUUGUAUCACCUUCUACCUUUAGACCUCAUUAACCAAAGCGUAUCCAUUGAAUAAUACAGCCGUUCUAUGAUUUUCCUUCUGUCUCUAGUCCAGUCCUAUCAAGCUAUGCGAUUACUUUCUAGAAAAGUAGUCAAUAGCAAGUCAUAUACUACCUGAAAUUGUAUAGCUAACUUUAAUUAAACUAUUUUAUGGGGUCAUGUACUAUCAUAUUUUGUAUUGUUGCCUUGUCUUGAUCUAGGUGAAGAGGAAGAAAGCUUCACAUGCCGGUAUGUUUGACAUAGCAAAGACUGCAAAUAGGCCUAUGAUUCAUAUUGGUGGAUAAGGUAUCAAGACGUUCAUUAAUGGUCAAUCUCACUCCAUAUAGGUGCUACGAGUUUGUCCAUAUGUUGUACUACUUUUGUAAAAUGUCUUGUGUCUGUUGAUAAACUCCAUCAGUUUAACUUAUAACAGUAUCAGUGAAUAGCGUGCCUUUGUAUUUAUUUCUUUUAUGGAAGAAAUGAAUGGAAGUUUGAGGAUGUUGGC